rnacentral:RNase_P_RNA from 1 species
GCGGAUGGCCGGACGGCCGCACCCCGGCGGGGUGAGGAAAGUCCGGACUCCAUGAGGCGACGGUGCCGGGUAACGCCCGGCCGGGGAAACCCGAGGGAAAGCGCCGCAGAAAACAGACCGCCCGGCCCGCGGGCCGGGCAAGGGUGAAACGGUGGAGUAAGAGCCCACCGCGGGGCUGGCAACAGCACCGGCACGGCAAGCCCCACCGGGAGCAAUGCCGAAUAGGGGCCUCACGCGGGUCACGGCCCGCAGGGACGCUUCAGCCCGAGGCCCGGGUUGGCAGCACGACCCCGCCAGCAAUGACGGGGCAAGAUGAAUGGCCGUCCGGGGGCGGCAAUCGCGGCCCUCGACAGAAUCCGGCUUACAGGCCGUCCGCGCAC